GGAAUCAGCCUGUUCUGGAUCAGGCUUCAGUAAUUUCAUAAUUGCUGAUCUCAUGGAAGGGACCGUGACUCGGCUAGAGAUGACUCCCUCUCUUAUGUCUGCAACAAGUUCUUCCCAGACUUGUUCGAAAGUUCUAAAAGCAUGGACAAUGCUGUGGGCAAAUGUAGAGGAGACAACUUGCACUUCGUCACGAAAAAUAAGCCCACACAAGAGAUGGCAGUACAAAGAUUGGUGGAAAUCAGGACCAAAUAUAACUUCAUCAGGGCUACAACAUGGGGUUUGCAUUGCCCUCAUUGUCUUCUUGAAAUGUGCGUUACGAUAUACAUUGGUAGUUGCAGUUCCAGCUGCCAAACCUCCCUUUGUCUUGAACUGCUUGCUGCUGUAAAUGAACUGCAAUGCCUUCCCAUUCUCAAUUGGGAAUUCUCUAUUCCUAAAAGCAAAAGAAGUUUUAUAUAUCUGCAUAGUGGAUUCCAUCAAUUCAUCAUUGAAAGGUACAAACUUUGGCCUUCCCUGAGUAGUACCUGAACUUAAUGAGAUUGUUGUAAUGGGUUUUCCAGUGAGAACAGGGGAAAGAUCCCCAUCAGCAAUUCUUUGAAUAUAAGGCUCUAAAUCUUUGUGAGUGACAAGAGGAACACAACUCUUGAAAAUCUCAGGAUCAGUUCUUCCAUUUAAACCCCAUUGCUGUAGAUACACAGUGCUUCCAUUUUCUUCUAGUAUCUUCUUAAGAGUUUCUUCUUGAACUUUCCCAGCUUCUUUGGUCAAAGCUUCAAAUUCCUCAAUCACUUCUUCUGGAUCAAAUUUCAUCUCUAUCUUCUCCAACAUCUUCCAAGAACUCAAAUUCGAACAAAAUAAGACU
rnacentral:misc_RNA from 1 species